rnacentral:lncRNA from 1 species
GGACUUGGGAGUGGCUCUCUCCUUCCCCAGAGCUUUAUAAAACUUCAGCCCAGAGGCUCCAGCUCUGCGAACUACAUCCUAUUUCCCUGCUCUGGUCAGUCUGUGCGGACAUCAGCUCCUUCUUUGGCGUACUGAUGGCAUCAGAGCCCCUGACUGAACUGGAGGAGGCCAUUGAAACCAUAAAGGAGACAUACCACACUUAUACAGUGGUGGGAGACCGAGGUUACCACCUGAACUUCAAAGUGUUUAAGAAACUGGUCACCCAAGAGCUGCCUCAUUUUCUCAAGUGUUCCCGGGCCUGUGAGGAUAAUGUGAAACUACCAUCCAUUCCCUGUGAGUAUUCCCUUAGGAAGGGGCUCCUUCAACAGAGGUGAGUGGGGAGUCUAACACCGACUCUGAGCUUGUGUGCUGU